rnacentral:tRNA from 1 species
GCACUUGUAGUUAAACGGAUAUAACACUCGGCUACGAACCGGGCAUUGGGGGUUCGAUUCCCUCCAGGUGCA